rnacentral:rRNA from 1 species
AUCAACGCUGGCGGCGUGCCUCAGACAUGCAAGUCGAACGCGAAAGUCCCCUUCGGGGGACGAAGUAGAGUGGCGCACGGGUGAGUAACACGUAGGUAAUCUACCUUUGGAUGGGAAGUAACAACCGGAAACGGUUGCUAAUACCGCAUAAUGCAGCGGCACCUAAUGGUGACAGUUGUUAAAGCGGGGGAUCGAAAGACCUCGCGUCUAAAGAGGAGCCUGCGGCGGAUUAGCUAGUUGGUAAGGAACGGCUUACCAAGGCUACGAUCCGUAACCGGCCUGAGAGGGCGGUCGGUCACACUGACACUGACAUACGGGUCAGACUCCUACGGGAGGCAGCAGGUCGGGAAUUUUUGGGCAAUGGGCGAAAGCCUGACCCAGCAACGCCCGCGUGAAGGAUGAAAUCCCUCGGGAUGU